rnacentral:misc_RNA from 1 species
UCGUCAGAGCUCGAAUUGAAAAGAAUUUGCCCAUUUGAUUUUCUCUUCACUGCAAAACUAAAUGGGUCCGCUUUGUAGCUAAAAAUAAACUCAGAGCCAGAGAAUUCCUGAACCGUAAUUAGGUUCUUUCUCGAUCUCCCAAUUGCUUGAUUCAAUGCAGGUGGUUGCUCUCUGGGCAAUAGAUUGUACGGAACUUCCCACCUCUUCUUCUCUGCAUCAGUGAUGUGAACUCUCAAACGAUCUUGCGUUUCAUGCUUGACAAAGAG